AAAUUGAAGAGUUUGAUCAUGGCUCAGAUUGAACGCUGGCGGCAGGCCUAACACAUGCAAGUCGAACGGUAACAGGAAGCAGCUUGCUGCUUUGCUGACGAGUGGCGGACGGGUGAGUAAUGUCUGGGAAACUGCCUGAUGGAGGGGGAUAACUACUGGAAACGGUGGCUAAUACCGCAUAACGUCGCAAGACCAAAGAGGGGGACCUUCGGGCCUCUUGCCAUCAGAUGUGCCCAGAUGGGAUUAGCUUGUUGGUGAGGUAACGGCUCACCAAGGCGACGAUCCCUAGCUGGUCUGAGAGGAUGACCAGCCACACUGGAACUGAGACACGGUCCAGACUCCUACGGGAGGCAGCAGUGGGGAAUAUUGCACAAUGGGCGCAAGCCUGAUGCAGCCAUGCCGCGUGUAUGAAGAAGGCCUUCGGGUUGUAAAGUACUUUCAGCGGGGAGGAAGGUGUUGUGGUUAAUAACCACAGCAAUUGACGUUACCCGCAGAAGAAGCACCGGCUAACUCCGUGCCAGCAGCCGCGGUAAUACGGAGGGUGCAAGCGUUAAUCGGAAUUACUGGGCGUAAAGCGCACGCAGGCGGUCUGUCAAGUCGGAUGUGAAAUCCCCGGGCUCAACCUGGGAACUGCAUUCGAAACUGGCAGGCUUGAGUCUUGUAGAGGGGGGUAGAAUUCCAGGUGUAGCGGUGAAAUGCGUAGAGAUCUGGAGGAAUACCGGUGGCGAAGGCGGCCCCCUGGACAAAGACUGACGCUCAGGUGCGAAAGCGUGGGGAGCAAACAGGAUUAGAUACCCUGGUAGUCCACGCCGUAAACGAUGUCUACUUGGAGGUUGUGCCCUUGAGGCGUGGCUUCCGGAGCUAACGCGUUAAGUAGACCGCCUGGGGAGUACGGCCGCAAGGUUAAAACUCAAAUGAAUUGACGGGGGCCCGCACAAGCGGUGGAGCAUGUGGUUUAAUUCGAUGCAACGCGAAGAACCUUACCUGGUCUUGACAUCCACAGAACUUUCCAGAGAUGGAUUGGUGCCUUCGGGAACUGUGAGACAGGUGCUGCAUGGCUGUCGUCAGCUCGUGUUGUGAAAUGUUGGGUUAAGUCCCGCAACGAGCGCAACCCUUAUCCUUUGUUGCCAGCGAUUAGGUCGGGAACUCAAAGGAGACUGCCAGUGAUAAACUGGAGGAAGGUGGGGAUGACGUCAAGUCAUCAUGGCCCUUACGACCAGGGCUACACACGUGCUACAAUGGCGCAUACAAAGAGAAGCGACCUCGCGAGAGCAAGCGGACCUCAUAAAGUGCGUCGUAGUCCGGAUUGGAGUCUGCAACUCGACUCCAUGAAGUCGGAAUCGCUAGUAAUCGUGGAUCAGAAUGCCACGGUGAAUACGUUCCCGGGCCUUGUACACACCGCCCGUCACACCAUGGGAGUGGGUUGCAAAAGAAGUAGGUAGCUUAACCUUCGGGAGGGCGCUUACCACUUUGUGAUUCAUGACUGGGGUGAAGUCGUAACAAGGUAACCGUAGGGGAACCUGCGGUUGGAUCACCUCCUUACCU
rnacentral:rRNA from 1 species